rnacentral:rRNA from 1 species
CGCAGCAACGCCGCGUGCGGGACGACGGCCUUCGGGUUGUAAACCGCUUUCAGCAGGGAAGAAAUUCGACGGUACCUGCAGAAGAAGCUCCGGCUAACUACGUGCCAGCAGCCGCGGUAAUACGUAGGGAGCGAGCGUUAUCCGGAUUCAUUGGGCGUAAAGAGCGCGUAGGCGGCCUCUCAAGCGGGAUCUCUAAUCCGAGGGCUCAACCCCCGGCCGGAUCCCGAACUGGGAGGCUCGAGUUCGGUAGAGGCAGGCGGAAUUCCCGGUGUAGCGGUGGAAUGCGCAGAUAUCGGGAAGAACACCGAUGGCGAAGGCAGCCUGCUGGGCCGCAACUGACGCUGAGGCGCGAAAGCUAGGGGAGCGAACAGGAUUAGAUACCCUGGUAGUCCUAGCCGUAAACGAUGGAUACUAGGUGUGGGGGGCUCCGCCCUCCGUGCCGCAGCCAACGCAUUAAGUAUCCCGCCUGGGGAGUACGGCCGCAAGGCUAAAACU